ACUGGGAUGGCCGAGAUAGGCAGUUGCUUGUAAAUCAACCCACGGGUUUACCCUCCCUUUA
rnacentral:tRNA from 1 species